UAUUUCACACGCUCCUUAACA
ensembl:piRNA 21ur-4259 ncRNA